rnacentral:rRNA from 1 species
CCCCAGACUCCUACGGGAGGCAGCAGUGAGGAAUAUUGGUCAAUGGGCGCAAGCCUGAACCAGCCAAGUCGCGUGAGGGAAGACGGCCCUACGGGUUGUAAACCUCUUUUGCCGGGGAGCAAGCCUGAGCACGUGUGCCCAGGCGGAGAGUACCCGGAGAAAAAGCAUCGGCUAACUCCGUGCCAGCAGCCGCGGCAAUACGGAGGAUGCGAGCGUUAUCCGGAUUUAUUGGGUUUAAAGGGUGCGCAGGCGGGCUGUUAAGCCGGCGGUAAAAAGUCAGGGCUCAACCCUGUCGAGCCGUCGGAACUGGCAGUCUUGAGUGGGCGAGAAGUAUGCGGAAUGCGUGGUGUAGCGGUGAAAUGCAUAGAUAUCAGGAGGAACACCGGCGGCGAAGGCGGCCUGCUGGACCGAAACUGACGUUGAGGCUCGAAAGCGUGGGGAGCAAACAGGAUUAGAUACCCCCGUAUA